AUUGAACGCUGGCGGCAGGCCUAACACAUGCAAGUCGAGCGGAUGAAGGGAGCUUGCUCCUGGAUUCAGCGGCGGACGGGUGAGUAAUGCCUAGGAAUCUGCCUGGUAGUGGGGGAUAACGUCCGGAAACGGGCGCUAAUACCGCAUACGUCCUGAGGGAGAAAGUGGGGGAUCUUCGGACCUCACGCUAUCAGAUGAGCCUAGGUCGGAUUAGCUAGUUGGUGGGGUAAAGGCCUACCAAGGCGGCGAUCCGUAACUGGUCUGGGAGGAUGAUCAGUCAAACUGGAACUGAGACACGGUCCAGACUCCUACGGGAAGCAACAAUGGGGAAAAUUGGACAAUGGGCGAAAGCCUGAUCCAGCCAAGCCGGGUGAGUGAAGAAGGUCUUCGGAUUGUAAAGCACUUUAAGGUGGGAGGAAGGGCAGUAAGUUAAUACCUUGCUGUUUUGACGUUACCAACAGAAUAAGCACCGGCUAACUUCGUG
rnacentral:rRNA from 1 species